AUACUUACCUAGCAGGGGCAAUACUAUGGUCAUGAAGGUGGUUUCCUCAUGGUGAGGCGUCUCCAUUGUAUAUUAGAUAUCCUGACUCCGGCAAUUCUCCCAGAUGUGGCAAACUUUACUGUAUAAUUUGUGGUAGUGAGGACUAAGUCCAUGCUCUCCCCU